rnacentral:rRNA from 1 species
UACGUAGGGUGCAAGCGUUAAUCGGAAUUACUGGGCGUAAAGCGUGCGCAGGCGGUUUUGUAAGUCUGUCGUGAAAUCCCCGGGCUCAACCUGGGAAUUGCGAUGGAGACUGCAAGGCUAGAAUCUGGCAGGAGGGGGGUAGAAUUCCACGUGUAGCAGUGAAAUGCGUAGAGAUGUGGAGGAACACCGAUGGCGCAAGGCAGCCCCCUGGGUCAAGAUUGACGCUCAUGCACGAAAGGCGUGGGGAGCAAACGAGG